GUGGGAAAAACACACAAACUAGACUCUAACAAGACCUAACCAGUAACAAGAUCUCGACCAGGACACAAACUCAACACUACGGACUCUGAAAAUGAAAUAUGCAAAGGCUAUGGCGCGGAUGGGUUGUAGGACAUGAAAAGAAUAUGGCACCAGACUUAUGGGACGAACACAAGGACACUCGAAACUAAAGGUAGAUGUGAACCUAACGGUAUGUCUGAAGCUUUGAUUACCACUUGAGGAGAAUAAGUGUGUCCCGAUCUUCCGAAAGGUUCUGGUAACUAUCGAUUUGGUGGAAACGAGACACAAAUCAAUCCAGCUUGCGAACAGCACGGUUUGAAACCCUGCAAUUCUUUUUAUUUUUUUUUGAUAUUUUUUUUACUUAGGAGCACUCAAGAAGUAACCAUAGGAAAUUUGAGCUUAAACAAUUGAAAGACGUGGCCUGUGGAAUUUUUUGAAGAUUGCGAAAAAUAUAAAAAAAACUUUAAGAGGUGAAAACUCAAACUUUAGGAGUGAAUUUGGGAUUCUAAAAUUAUCGAACCCACCUCUAGCGGAGAUAGACAGAUCCAUAAAUUUGUUCUGAUCGAUUUGGAUAUAUGGAACGUCAAAAUCGGAGUUCAUAUGCGAAAGAUAUGGCUGUUUUACGAACGGACUCCGAAUUAGAGGACAAAACGGUCCGGAAGUGGGAAAAAUUUGCGGUGGUGGCUAGAAAUUGAUGGAAACGGUGGAAAAAAACACACAAACUGGACUCUAACAAGACCAAAUCGGUAACAAGACCUCGACCACGACACAAACUCAACACUACGGACUCUGAAACUGAAAUAUGCAAAGGUUAUGGCGCGGAUGGGUUGUAGGACAUGAAAACAAUUUGGCACUAGACUUAUGGGACGAACACAAGGACACUCGAAACUAAGGGUACAUGUGAACCUAACUAUACGUCUGAAGCUUUGAUUACCACUUGAGGAGAACAAGGCCCGAUCUUCCGAAAGGUUCUGGUAACUAUCAAUUUGGUGGAAACGAGACACAAAUCAUUCCAGUUUGCGAACAACACGAUUCGAAAUCCUGCAAUUCUUUUUAUAUUUUUUGAUAUUUUUCUUUUACUUAGGAGCACUCAAGAAGUAACCACAGGAAAUUUGAGCUUAAACAAGUGAAGGACGUGACCUGUGGAAUUUUUUGAAGAUUGCGAAAAAUAUGAAAAUAAAGUUUAGGAGGUGAAAACUCAAAAUUUCAGAGGCGAGUUUGGGAAUUGUAAAUUUGUUGCACCGCCUAUGGCGGGGAUAGACAGAUCCAAAAAAUUUUUCUGAUCGAUUUUGAAAUAUGGAACGUCAAAAUCAGAGUUCGUAGGCGAAAGUUAUGGCUGUUUUACGAACGGACUCCGAAUUAGAGGAUAAAACGGUCCGGAAGUGGGAAAAAUUUGCGGUGGUGGCUAGAAAUUAAUGGAAAUGGUGGGAAAAACACACAAACUAGACUCUAACAAGACCUAACCAGUAACAAGAUCUCGACCAGGACACAAACUCAACACUACGGACUCUGAAAAUGAAAUAUGCAAAGGCUAUGGCGCGGAUGGGUUGUAGGACAUGAAAAGAAUAUGGCACCAGACUUAUGGGACGAACACAAGGACACUCAAAACUAAAGGUAGAUGUGAACCUAACGGUAUGUCUGAAGCUUUGAUUACCACUUGAGGAGAAUAAGUGUGUCCCGAUCUUCCGAAAGGUUCUGGUAACUAUCGAUUUGGUGGAAACGAGACACAAAUCAAUCCAGCUUGCGAACAGCACGGUUCGAAACCCUGCAAUUCUUUUUAUUUUUUUUUUGAUAUUUUUCUUUUACUUAGAAGCACUCAAGAAGUAACCAUAGGAAAUUUGAGCUUAAACAAUUGAAAGACGUGGCCUGUGGAAUUUUUUGAAGAUUGCGAAAAAUAUAAAAAAAACUUUAAGAGGUGAAAACUCAAACUUUAGGAGUGAAUUUGGGAUUCUAAAAUUAUCGAACCCACCUCUAGCGGAGAUAGACAGAUCCAUAAAUUUGUUC
rnacentral:lncRNA from 1 species